CUUCUUGGUAGCAAGAUGGUAAUUCCCCUGUGAAAAUGCAAUCUCCCCAAUCUUCUCCAGAGUCGAUGUCCGCAGUUCCUCUUGAUUCGGAUUACUCUCUACUUUUUCGAGAGUCAAUUUCUCCGCCAAGUCCUCACCACAUCAAUUUGGGCAUGACGUGGCGCCAGCAUUGCCAAGGGCCACAAUUCUUCGGACAUGUCAUUUUCCUGUCGAAGGUCAUCGGUUAAACAUCGUCAAGUUACAUACGAGCUGGCAACACAAACCGAUAGGAAGCUGCCAUUUCGAUGGCCUGGGGAAACUUGUUGCGCGCUUCCAACAUCGAACACAAAAGAUCCAAUCUAUUGGCCUCUCUGAAGAGACGCUCGGCGUCAUCCUGAAGGGAUCAAUAUCACAGCCGCACACAUUGGUUGUUGACGAAGUAUGAAGACAUUGGUAAUGCAGUUUACAGCUAAAAGAGGACUUCGUAAAACCGUAGCACCCCAUGUCACCUGUUUCACAGUACCGUGGAUCAUACAAGUUUCAGGUAUGGUAGGCCAUCCAUUAUCCUCGAUGUCUGAUACGUGCUUAUGUUUCCAUAGAUAAAUUGUUCCCAAAUUUGUACCAGCUGCCAAGGUUUCUUUGAUAAAAACCGAAUUUCAGUAAGGUAAAUCAAGAGUAUUUAGGUUGAGUAAAAAUAUCCAUAGGGACAUACCAUUAUUUUUACAGUAACAUAAACUCGUGCAAAUUUCUUGAGGUGUUGCAAUAUUAGCAUUAGUAGAUUCCGGCGGUGCUAGAACAUAAGUAUCACCGGUAUGUAGAUCCCAACAUCUGAUAGCUAAUUCCCCGGUUAAAACAGCUAGAGUGUUUGUUCCAGCCCAACAGAUAGAUGGUCCAGACCGAGAUAUAUCUGCUUUGCCACUCAAUUUCACCUGGAGAAAAAUUAUGCGAUAGAUGGUCAUUAGCUGAUGAGAAUGUUUGGUAUUGGCAAGAAGUUGGUAAAGAACUGAGUCUUACUUUCGUGAGCUCUGUGAGCCUGCCAGUAAUAGGGUCUGCUUGGAAAUGCCCAAUGUUGAGACCCUCUGUCAUAACAACAACAGAAUCUCUUGUU